rnacentral:rRNA from 1 species
AAUUAUUUAAUAGCCGCAAUUCGUGCUAAGGUAGUAUAAUUAUUUGUCUUUUAAAUGGAGAACAGAACAAAAGAUUUAACAUUUCAACUUGUUUAUUUAUUUUAAUAAUAAAAAUUUUUUUAAGUGUAAAAAAACACUUAUCUUUUAGAAAGACGACAAGACCCUAUUGAACUUAACUUCAGUUAAACUGGGGCAGUAAAUUAAUUAUAAUUUUAAUUUUUUAAUAAUAAUAAUAAUCUAUUCAAAAUAAAUUAUUCAGUUACCAUAGGGAUAACAGCGCAAUUAUUUUUUAGAGCCCUUAUCUAAAAAAUAGUUUACGACCUCGAUGUUGAAUUAAUAACCUUAUUUAAGCAAAUUUAAAAAAAGGAAGUCUGUUCGACUUUUAAAUAAUUACAUGAUUUGAGUUCAGACCGGUAUAAGCCAGGUCGGUUUCCAUCUUCUUCAAUAUCUUUACAGUACGAAAGGACCUAAAAAUUUUUUAUUAAUUAAUUGGCAGAAAAAUGCAUUAGAAUUAGAAUCUAAUAAAACUUAAA